AUGUUUUGUCCUCAAUCAUGUAAUUUGUAUGCUCCUGAAGCGCAGUAAAAUUUUAGCAAAUAAUGCGAAAAUAAAAUCGAACACGAGAUACGAAUUUAACGUGGAAGAACCCUUGCGGGAAAAAACCACGGAAGACUAUCACUAUUCAGGAAAAUUUACAAGCAGGGAUGAUACAUGGCUCAUCUAAGAUGUCUUAUCCUGCAGUCUACAUAGGGCUUACAUAUAUAUAGGGGUGGAAAUAGAACUCAUGUAAGAGUAGGACUCUAUCUCUAGAGUAGGUUUCGUAAUAGACUAAGAAUCAAAUCGGGUAACACAAUGUUGGUAUAUUUAACGAUCUUAAAUAAAUCCGCAAGUGCAUGGAUAUACCGUUGUAGCAUUUUACCCAAGAGUAUUCUCAAGGAUAUCGUAUUUCUCAAAGGAAGACGGGUACAUCAAAAGAGUUUACUAUGCAUAUGAGCACAUCAUAAGAUGGAUAGGAACAAUACUCAAGGCAGGGGUAAGAUAGAUAGAUAGAUAGAUAGUGUGACACACAUGGGAAUCAUCUCAAGAUAACUAAGCUAGGGAGAAGGGCUAAGAGUUAGCUCUAGGUUCAUAUGUACUGCCUAUAUACUGCACAGAUCAUACAAGCAUAAUAUACAUAUACAUUGUAUAGAACUCAGGCCUAUGCACCCAGGCACACACGGGGAGACAAUACUCGUACUAGUUCCAC
rnacentral:lncRNA from 1 species